AUUGAACGCUGGCGGCAGGCCUAACACAUGCAAGUCGAACGGUAACAGGAAGAAGCUUGCUUCUUUGCUGACGAGUGGCGGACGGGUGAGUAAUGUCUGGGAAACUGCCUGAUGGAGGGGGAUAACUACUGGAAACGGUAGCUAAUACCGCAUAACGUCGCAAGACCAAAAAGGGGGACCUUCGGGCCUCUUGCCAUCGGAUGUGCCCAGAUGGGAUUAGCUAGUAGGUGGGGUAACGGCUCACCUAGGCGACGAUCCCUAGCUGGUCUGAGAGGAUGACCAGCCACACUGGAACUGAGCCACGGUCCAGCCUCCUACGGGAGGCAGCAGUGGGGAAUAUUGCACAAUGGGCGCAAGCCUGAUGCAGCCCUGCCGCGUGUAUGAAGAAGGCCUUCGGGUUGUAAAGUACUUUCAGCGGGGAGGAAGGGAGUAAAGUUAAUACCUUUGCUCAUUGACGUUACCCGCAGAAGAAGCACCGGCUAACUCCGUG
rnacentral:rRNA from 1 species